UAUGAAACUGUUGAUGUUCUUG
rnacentral:siRNA from 1 species